GGCUGCUAUACAUAUGUAGGUUUGACACGUUUCAAAGUGAACGAAUUGCAGAAAUAUGGUGUCACAAAGACUUCAAUCUUAUUUUUUCUCACGCUACUUCAUGUUUUUGUUUCGGUGCCAUAUCUAGAAAUGUUUGUAGUGAAAGUGGUAAAUAGUCAUCAACAAUACCAGGCUUAUAGUACUUUACGCUAAAUAAGCGUUUCUUUU
rnacentral:lncRNA from 1 species